CCUACGGGUGGCAGCAGUGGGGAAUAUUGCACAAUGGGGGAAACCCUGAUGCAGCGACGCCGCGUGAGCGAAGAAGUAUUUCGGUAUGUAAAGCUCUAUUAGUAGGGAAGAAAAUGAAGGUAACUGACUAAGAAGGCCAGGCUAACUACGUGCCCGCAGCCGCGGUAAUACGUAGGGGGCAAGCGUUAGCCGGAUUUACUGGGUGUAAAGGGAGCGUAGACGGGGAGGCAAGUCAGCUGUGAAAGACCGGGGCUUAACCCGGGGACUGCAGUUGGAACUGGAUUUCUGGAGUGUAGGAGAGGCUGGCGGAAUUCCUAGUGUAGCGGUGAAAUGCGUAGAUAUUAGGAGGAACACCGGUGGCGAAGGCGGCCUGCUGGGCUAUAACUGACGUUGAGGCUCGAAAGCGUGGGGAGCAAACAGGAUUAGAUACCCCAGUAGUC
rnacentral:rRNA from 1 species